AAGUCGUAACAAGGUUUCCGUAGGUGAACCUGCGGAAGGAUCAUUAACACGUAUCCAACGUUAAACAACCCUGUGAACUUUCAACCCCGCCAGAAUGAGAUUAGUUUCCAACUCCGGUGAAGGCAAGUGACCUGGCACCUGGACCACAUCAAAGCUCUGACAGAGUGCCUCUGGAUUGUGAUUGAAGGGUGACGCAGUAACGAUCGCUGGAGGCCCACACGGCCGGCGACUGGGUCAGCGAGCUAACGCUCCCUCAACAACUACUUAACAUGACGACAGUUCCUCUUUAACUUGAGUUGAGCUAUAACAAAAAACUAUACAACUGUUAACAAUGGAUAUCUUGGUUCUC
rnacentral:misc_RNA from 1 species